rnacentral:rRNA from 1 species
AACGAACGCUGGCGGCAUGCCUAACACAUGCAAGUCGAACGAGACCUUCGGGUCUAGUGGCGCACGGGUGCGUAACGCGUGGGAACCUGCCCUUAGGUUCGGAAUAACUCCCCGAAAGGGGUGCUAAUACCGGAUAAUGUCUUCGGACCAAAGAUUUAUCGCCUUUGGAUGGGCCCGCGUUGGAUUAGCUAGUUGGUAGGGUAAAAGCCUGCCAAGGCGACGAUCCAUAGCUGGUCUGAGAGGAUGAUCAGCCACACUGGGACUGAGACACGGCCCAGACUCCUACGGGAGGCAGCAGUGGGGAAUAUUAGACACUGGGCGAAAGCCUGAUCCAGCAGUGCCGCGUAAGUGAUGAAGGCCUUAGGGUUGUAAAGCUCUUUUACCCGGGAUGAUAAUGACAGUACCGGGAGAAUAAGCACCGGCUAACUCCGUG